rnacentral:other from 1 species
UAUCUACUGCGAUGUUCGCGGUCAGGAGUGUGUUAACUUGAGCCUAUAACGCACGAUACCGGGAGCUAACCGUGUUGUUGUUGAGCAUGUCCCUAACGGGAAAGCCUGAUACAACACCAGCUGCCCCCACUUGGACCCCUGGUUCAAGUUCAGAGUCCUGAUACGGCAUCGCGGUGAUAC